GAGGUGAGCCCUGAGGUGAGCCCCGCGGUGAGCCCCGAGGUGAGCCCUGAGGUGAGCCCCGCGGUGAGCCCCGAGGUCAGCCAGCGAGUCCACAAUCUCUGCAAAACACAAGGAUGGCGUUAGCCGGCACAGAGGACUUGUUUGGAUUGCUUUACCAGAUGAGGAGAUGGCUUUCCCUCAGUGCUGAGGGCUGGGACAUGGAGUCACACUCAUGGAUCAGCAGGGGACAGGUCUGAGCACACAGCCCAGCCCAAACAGCAGUAGCUGUGAUUAUGGAAACACCCCUGUGAACAGCUGCAAUAAACUCCCUUCAGCUCAGCAGCACACGGUGCUAGGUGUUGGAUUAGGGUCAUACUAGGGUAAUAAAGCCAUCCUGUUUCCUCACA